rnacentral:rRNA from 1 species
UACGUAGGGACCGAGCGUUGUCCGGAUUCAUUGGGCGUAAAGAGCUCGUAGGCGGCCACUCAAGUCGAAUGUGAAACCUCGAGGCUUAACCUCGAGCCUGCAUUCGAUACUGGGCGGCUAGAGUCUGGUAGGGGGAUCUGGAAUUCCUGGUGUAGCGGUGGAAUGCGCAGAUAUCAGGAGGAACACCGGUGGCGAAGGCGGGAUCCUGGGCCAGUACUAACGCUGAGGAGCGAAAGCGUGGGGAGCAAACAGG